rnacentral:rRNA from 1 species
CCCUUAGAUGUUCUGGGCCGCACGCGCGCUACACUGACUGGUGCAACAAGCAUCCGUCCUUGGCCGACAGGCUCGGGCAAUCUUUGAACGCUGGUCGUGAUGGGGAUAGACUUUUGCAAUUUUUGGUCUUCAACGAGGAAUUCCUAGUAAACGCAAGUCAUCAACUUGCAUUGAUUACGUCCCUGCCCUUUGUACACACCGCCCGUCGCACCUACCGAUUGAAUGGUCCGGUGAAGCCUCCGGAUUGGCGCGCACCUCGGUGCCGCCGAGAAGUUGGCUAAACCUUACCAUUUAGAGGAAGGUGAAGUCGUAACA